rnacentral:rRNA from 1 species
UACGGAGGAUCCAAGCGUUAUCCGGAUUCAUUGGGUUUAAAGGGUGCGUAGGCGGAAUGAUAAGUCAGCGGUGAAAUCCCUCGGCUUAACCGAGGAACUGCCGUUGAUACUGUCAAUCUUGAGUACAUUUGAUGUGGGCGGAAUGUGUCAUGUAGCGGUGAAAUGCUUAGAUAUGACACAGAACACCGAUUGCGAAGGCAGCUCACAAAACUGUAACUGACGCUGAGGCACGAAAGCGUGGGUAUCAAACAGG